AUGCAAGUCGAACGCAUCGCAAGAUGAGUGGCAGACGGGUGAGUAACGCGUGGGAACAUACCCUUUUCUACGGAAUAGCUCUGGGAAACUGGAAUUAAUACCGUAUACGCCCUACGGGGGAAAGAUUUAUCGGGGAAGGAUUGGCCCACGUUGGAUUAGCUAGUUGGUGGGGUAAAGGCCUACCAAGGCGACGAUCCAUAGCUGGUCUGAGAGGAUGAUCAGCCACAUUGGGACUGAGACACGGCCCAAACUCCUACGGGAGGCAGCAGUGGGGAAUAUUGGACAAUGGGCGCAAGCCUGAUCCAGCCAUGCCGCGUGAGUGAUGAAGGCCUUAGGGUUGUAAAGCUCUUUCACCGAUGAAGAUAAUGACGGUAGUCGGAGAAGAAGCCCCGGCUAACUUCGUGCCAGCAGCCGCGGUAAUACGAAGGGGGCUAGCGUUGUUCGGAAUUACUGGGCGUAAAGCGCACGUAGGCGGAUAUUUAAGUCAGGGGUGAAAUCCCAGAGCUCAACUCUGGAACUGCCUUUGAUACUGGGUAUCUUGAGUAUGGAAGAGGUAAGUGGAAUUGCGAGUGUAGAGGUGAAAUUCGUAGAUAUUCGCAGGAACACCAGUGGCGAAGGCGGCUUACUGGUCCAUUACUGACGCUGAGGUGCGAAAGCGUGGGGAGCAAACAGGAUUAGAUACCCUGGUAGUCCACGCCGUANACGAUGAAUGUUAGCCGUCGGGCAGUAUACUGUUCGGUGGCGCAGCUAACGCAUUAAACAUUCCGCCUGGGGAGUACGGUCGCAAGAUUAAAACUC
rnacentral:rRNA from 1 species